rnacentral:rRNA from 1 species
UACAGAGGUCUCAAGCGUUGUUCGGAUUCAUUGGGCGUAAAGGGUGCGUAGGCGGCGCGGUAAGUCGGGUGUGAAAUCUCGGGGCCUAACUCCGAAACUGCAUUCGAUACUGCCGUGCUUGAGGACUGGAGAGGAGACUGGAAUUUACGGUGUAGCGGUGAAAUGCGUAGAUAUCGUAAGGAAGACCAGUGGCGAAGGCGGGUCUCUGGACAGUUCCUGACGCUGAAGCACGAAGGCCAGGGGAGCAAACGGG